ensembl:lncRNA
CACAACAUGCAGCACUGAGACACGCAACCCUCUCUCUUCACUUCCUCUCUUUAUCUCACUCUCUUCUCACGUCAUGGCUCUUUUGUAACCUAUUUUUUCUAUCACUCUCUUCUUUCUUCCUCUAUCUCUAUCUUUUCUCUUUCUCUUCUCUAUUUCUUCUUUGUCUGCUUUCUCCAUCUCUCUCUCUUUCUCUCUCCUCUCUUUCUCUCUCUCUCCUCCCUCUCUCUCUCUCUCUCUCUCUCUCUCUCUCUCUCUCUCUCUCUCUCUCUCUCUCUCUCUCACUCUCACUCUCUCUCUCUCUCUCUCCUCCCAUUCGUCGACCAAUCCGUGGGACCAAAUCCCUUUUGACAGGGCCAGAGCUUCCGAGCCACUGUUGCGUAUGAGUGUGUGUGUAUGUGCAUGCACGCCCCUGUGAAGGCACAGACGAGAGGUCUGUCUGAGACCAGGGUGGUGAGCCAGCCCAUUCAGACGGGCGGAUAGGGUCGGGGGCACACGUUGAACAGGGGCAGAGAGACAAAGAGAGAGACACACACACACACAUCCAUACAAAGGGGGUCUCCACAGUCUAUGAAGCCGGCUGGGAGCCACUGUUUGUUGGGGCUACGCCUGUCCGUAGAGUCGCCCUGCACAGAUUGAUGAAGUCCCUUUCGUCUCCUCCUCCAGCAGUGAGAGGACGUGGCCUGCUGACCCCCGAGAGACCCAUCCUUGGCAGGCAUGAUCAUCAGGCUGAGCAGGCUGACCCCGGGGUACUCCCGCCUGCUCCAGAGGCAGGUCUCCGGGGAGGUCCAGGUGCAGCAUCAGACCAGCUUCGUCAACCCCAUUGCCAUGACGAUGGCCGCCCUGGGCCUGGGGGUGUCUCUGUACAGUACCAAGCGGCUGGCCGAGAGAGUCCAACUGAAACAGACGGCGAACUGACGCCGCACCUAAAUGUAGACACGCACCUGAGUGUCGAAGUCACGAUGGAUUAGGCUGCUUUCACUAAACUAAUUGUAGGGCCCCUGUCACUUAGCUGCUAAGUGCCAUGUUGUCUUUGUAUGAAGUUUGUUGUUUUGUGAGUCUUGAAGAAGGUUUGAAAGGUUUGUGUGGAAGAUGAAUAUAGUUCUGUAGAGAACUGGUUGGAGAAGUAAAGGUUUGUCCCUUGUACUGUGAUGUGAACAAAGAUUAAGAAAGUGUGGAAAUUCGAAAAAUACAUGGUCACCAUCAUACUAUAUGAAGCAGAUUUCUUAGGGAAUAGUUCAGUAAUAAGGAUAUAGAGAAUAUUUUGUCACCACCUUUUGUCAAGAAGUGUCACAUUAAUAAAUCUGAUGGACCACACAGAAAGUUCUUGAAAGUGAAUAUCUUCUGUCCUGCUGACUAAAUAUUUCCCCGUAUAUCUUUGUGAUUCAUUAUGUUUCCAUCUAUUUCUGUUUGUGUCAGCUAACCUCAAAGAUGUCCCUUAAACUGAUUUUAAUCUCUGGACCUAAUCUAGUCUGCUAGUCUGACUCUGUUGUAUGUAACAUUUGUAAACUUCCUCAAUCCCUUCGAUAUUAAAUAUCAUCCGGUUAAUCAAAUUAGUUAUGACGCAAACACUUCUAUUACUUAUUUGUAAUUCAUUUCCAUGAAUGGCUUGAAAUUAAACAAAACCAUUGAAAAACGAAAU